GAUGAACGCUGGCGGCGUGCCUAAUACAUGCAAGUCGAGCGAACAGACGAGGAGCUUGCUCCUCUGACGUUAGCGGCGGACGGGGGAGUAACACGUGGAUAACCUACCUAUAAGACUGGGAUAACUUCGGGAAACCGGAGCUAAUACCGGAUAAUAUAUUGAACCGCAUGGUUCAAUAGUGAAAGACGGUUUUGUUGUCACUUAUAGAUGGAUCCGCGCCGCAUUAGCUAGUUGGUAAGGUAACGGCUUACCAAGGCAACGAUGCGUAGCCGACCUGAGAGGGUGAUCGGCCACACUGGAACUGAGACACGGUCCAGACUCCUACGGGAGGCAGCAGUAGGGAAUCUUCCGCAAUGGGCGAAAGCCUGACGGAGCAACGCCGCGUGAGUGAUGAAGGUCUUCGGAUCGUAAAACUCUGUUAUUAGGGAAGAACAAAUGUGUAAGUAACUAUGCACGUCUUGACGGUACCUAAUCAGAAAGCCACGGCUAACUACGUG
rnacentral:rRNA from 1 species